rnacentral:rRNA from 1 species
CGGCAAGAGCUCAGAUUUGAAAUCCGGUACGCUUGCGUGCCCGAGUUGUAAUCUAGAGAAGCAUUAUCCGCGCUGGACCGUGUACAAGUCUCCUGGAAUGGAGCGUCAUAGAGGGUGAGAAUCCCGUCUUUGACACGGACUGCCAGGGCUUUUGUGAUGUGCUCUCAAA